UACGGAGGAUCCAAGCGUUAUCCGGAAUUACUGGGCGUAAAGAGUUGCGUAGGUGGCAUAGUAAGCAAGGCAUGAAAUCGUGUGGCUCAACCCAUACAUCCAUGUUUUGAACUGCUAAGCUAGAGGACGAGAGGAGGUAGAAUGGAAUUCCCAGUGUAGGAGUGAAAUCCGUAGAUAUUGGGAGGACACCGAUGGCGUAGGCAGUCUACUGGCUCGUUCCUGACACUCAGGCACGAAAGCGUGGGGAGCAAACGGG
rnacentral:rRNA from 1 species